AGUACCUUUUAAUGAAUUGUCCAGAGAGGCAAAAAAGGGGAAGAUGUGGACAAGAUAAAAGUUUGAAUGCGUUCUAACUUUAACUUGUCACGCCUCCUUAUGCCUCGUUGAUGACAUCAGCGGGGCUUUUAAU
rfam:Lysinibacillus sphaericus OT4b.31 genomic scaffold Ls31_scaffold1, whole genome shotgun sequence.